rnacentral:rRNA from 1 species
CCUACGGGAGGCAGCAGUGGGGAAUAUUGGUCAAUGGACGAGAGUCUGAACCAGCCAAGUAGCGUGAAGGAUGACUGCCCUAUGGGUUGUAAACUUCUUUUAUAUGGGAAUAAAAUGUUCCACGUGUGGGAUUUUGUAUGUACCAUAUGAAUAAGGAUCGGCUAACUCCGUGCCAGCAGCCGCGGUAAUACGGAGGAUCCGAGCGUUAUCCGGAUUUAUUGGGUUUAAAGGGAGCGUAGGUGGAUUGUUAAGUCAGUUGUGAAAGUUUGCGGCUCAACCGUAAAAUUGCAGUUGAAACUGGCAGUCUUGAGUACAGUAGAGGUGGGCGGAAUUCGUGGUGUAGCGGUGAAAUGCUUAGAUAUCACGAAGAACUCCGAUUGCGAAGGCAGUUCACUGGACUGCAACUGACACUGAGGCUCGAAAGUGUGGGUAUCAAACAGGAUUAGAUACCCCAGUAGUC